GCACGAAGGUUGGCUAAUCCUGGUCGGACAUCAGGAGGUUAGUGCAAUGGCAUAAGCCAGCUUGACUGCGAGCGUGACGGCGCGAGCAGGUGCGAAAGCAGGUCAUAGUGAUCCGGUGGUUCUGAAUGGAAGGGCCAUCGCUCAACGGAUAAAAGGUACUCCGGGGAUAACAGGCUGAUACCGCCCAAGAGUUCAUAUCGACGGCGGUGUUUGGCACCUCGAUGUCGGCUCAUCACAUCCUGGGGCUGAAGUAGGUCCCAAGGGUAUGGCUGUUCGCCAUUUAAAGUGGUACGCGAGCUGGGUUUAGAACGUCGUGAGACAGUUCGGUCCCUAUCUGCCGUGGGCGCUGGAGAACUGAGGGGGGCUGCUCCUAGUACGAGAGGACCGGAGUGGACGCAUCACUGGUGUUCGGGUUGUCAUGCCAAUGGCACUGCCCGGUAGCUAAAUGCGGAAGAGAUAAGUGCUGAAAGCAUCUAAGCACGAAACUUGCCCCGAGAUGAGUUCUCCCUGAGACUUAGAGUCUCCUGAAGGAACGUUGAAGACGACGACGUUGAUAGGCCGGGUGUGUAAGCGCAGCGAUGCGUUGAGCUAACCGGUACUAAUGAACCGUGAGGCUUAACCUUACA
rnacentral:rRNA from 1 species